rnacentral:rRNA from 1 species
CUGCCGGUGAUAAACCGGAGGAAGGUGGGGACGACGUCAAGUCAUCAUGGCCCUUACGGGCAGGGCUACACACGUGCUACAAUGGCAUGUACAGAGGGAUGCGAACUCGCGAGAGCAAGCGGACCCCAAAAAGCAUGUCGUAGUCCGGAUCGGAGUCUGCAACUCGACUCCGUGAAGUCGGAAUCGCUAGUAAUCGUAGAUCAGAAUGCUACGGUGAAUACGUUCCCGGGCCUUGUACACACCGCCCGUCACACCAUGGGAGUGGGCUGCAAAAGAAGUGGGUAGUUAACCUCGG